rnacentral:rRNA from 1 species
UGGAUGAUGUGGUUAAUUCGAUGCAACGCGAAAAACCUUUACCUACCCUUGACAUGCCAGGAAUCCUGCAGAGAUGUGGGAGUGCUCGCAAGAGAGCCUGGACACAGGUGCUGCAUGGCUGUCGUCAGCUCGUGUCGUGAGAUGUUGGGUUAAGUCCCGCAACGAGCGCAACCCUUGCCAUUAGUUGCUACGAAAGGGCACUCUAAUGGGACUGCCGGUGACAAACCGGAGGAAGGUGGGGAUGACGUCAAGUCCUCAUGGCCCUUAUGGGUAGGGCUUCACACGUAAUACAAUGGUCGGUACAGAGGGUUGCCAACCCGCGAGGGGGAGCCAAUCCCAGAAACCGAUCGUAGUCCGGAUUGCAGUCUGCAACUCGACUGCAUGAAGUCGGAAUCGCUAGUAAUCGCGGAUCAGCAUGUCCGCGGUCGAAUACGUUCCCGGGCCUU